GAUGAACGCUGGCGGCGUGCCUAAUACAUGCAAGUCGAGCGAACAGACGAUGAGCUUGCUCCUCUGACGUUAGCGGCGGACGGGUGAGUAACACGUGGAUACCCUACCUAUAAGACUGGGAUAACUUCGGGAAACCGGAGCUAAUACCGGAUAAUAUAUUGAACCGCAUGGUUCAAUAGUGAAAGACGGUUUUGCUGUCACUUAUAGAUGGAUCCGCGCCGCAUUAGCUAGUUGGUACGGUAACGGCUUACCAAGGCGACGAUGCGUAGCCGAGCUGAGAGGCGGAUCGGCGACCCUGGAACUUGAACGCGGUCAAUGCGACUACGGGAGGCAGCAGAAGGGAAUCUUACGCAAUAGGCGAAAGCCUGACGGAGUAACGCCGAGUGAGUGAUGAAGGUCUUCGGAUCGUAAAACUCUGUUACUAGGGAUGAACAAAUGUGUAAGUAAAUAUGCCCGUCUUGACGGUAAUGAAUCAGAAAGCCACGGCUAACUACGUG
rnacentral:rRNA from 1 species